GAUGAACGCUGGCGGCGUGCCUAAUACAUGCAAGUCGAGCGAACAGACGAGGAGCUUGCUCCUCUGACGUUAGCGGCGGACGGGUGAGUAACACGUGGAUAACCUACCUAUAAGACUGGGAUAACUUCGGGAAACCGGAGCUAAUACCGGAUAAUAUAUUGAACCGCAUGGUUCAAUAGUGAAAGACGGUUUUGCUGUCACUUAUAGAUGGAUCCGCGCCGCAUUAGCUAGUUGGUAAGGUAACGGCUUACCAAGGCGACGAUGCGUAGCCGACCUGAGAGGGGGAUCGGCCACACUGGAACUGAGACACGGUCCAGACUCCUACGGGAGGCAGCAGUAGGGAAUCUUCCGCAAUGGGCGAAAGCCUGACGGAGCAACGCCGCGUGAGUGAUGAAGGUCUUCGGAUCGUAAAACUCUGUUAUUAGGGAAGAACAAAUGUGUAAGUAACUAUGCACGUCUGGACGGUACCUAAUCAGAAAGCCACGGCUAACUACGU
rnacentral:rRNA from 1 species